rnacentral:rRNA from 1 species
UACAGAGGUCUCAAGCGUUGUUCGGAUUCAUUGGGCGUAAAGGGUGCGUAGGUGGCGUCGUAAGUGGGGUGUGAAAUCCCGGGGCUUAACCCCGGGACUACAUUCCAUACUGCGGUGCUUGAGGACUGGAGAGGAGACUGGAAUUUACGGUGUAGCAGUGAAAUGCGUAGAGAUCGUAAGGAAGACCAGUGGCGAAGGCGGGUCUCUGGACAGUUCCUGACACUGAGGCACGAAGGCCAGGGGAGCAAACGGG